AUCCGGGUUGCGGACAGUGUCUGGUGGGUAGUUUGACUGGGGCGGUCUCCUCCUAAAGAGUAACGGAGGAGCACGAAGGUUAGCUAAUCCUGGUCGGACAUCAGGAGGUUAGUGCAAAGGCAUAAGCUAGCUUGACUGCGAGAGUGACGGCUCGAGCAGGUGCGAAAGCAGGUCUUAGUGAUCCGGUGGUUCUGAAUGGAAGGGCCAUCGCUCAACGGAUAAAAGGUACUCCGGGGAUAACAGGCUGAUACCGCCCAAGAGUUCAUAUCGACGGCGGUGUUUGGCACCUCGAUGUCGGCUCAUCACAUCCUGGGGCUGAAGUAGGUCCCAAGGGUAUGGCUGUUCGCCAUUUAAAGUGGUACGCGAGCUGGGUUUAGAACGUCGUGAGACAGUUCGGUCCCUAUCUGCCGUGGGCGCUGGAGAAUUGAGGGGGGCUGCUCCUAGUACGAGAGGACCGGAGUGGACGCAUCACUGGUGUUCGGGUUGUCAUGCCAAUGGCAUUGCCCGGUAGCUAAAUGCGGAAGAGAUAAGUGCUGAAAGCAUCUAAGCACGAAACUUGCCCCGAGAUGAGUUCUCCCUGAGACUUAGAGUCUCCUGAAGGAACGUUGAAGACGACGACGUUGAUAGGCCGGGUGUGUAAGCGCAGCGAUGCGUUGAGCUAACCGGUACUAAUGAACCGUGAGGCUUAACCUUACAACGCCGAAG
rnacentral:rRNA from 2 species